GUCUGCGGCCACACUACCCUGAACACGCCUGAUCCCAUUUGAUCUCGGAAGCUAAGCGGGCUCAGGGCCUGGUCAGUACUUGGAUGAGAGACCACCUAGGAAGACUGGGUGCUGUAGGUG
ensembl:rRNA 5S_rRNA 5S ribosomal RNA